CGGGCCCGUAAAAGUUGUCCCGUUGCAGACGCCCGCCCAGGGAACCCUAAAAUUUUACCCUACGGGUGAGUAAUGCCUAGGAAUCUGCCUGGUAGUGGGGGAUAACGUUCGGAAACGGACGCUAAUACCGCAUACGUCCUACGGGAGAAAGCAGGGGACCUUCGGGCCUUGCGCUAUCAGAUGAGCCUAGGUCGGAUUAGCUAGUUGGUGGGGUAAUGGCUCACCAAGGCGACGAUCCGUAACUGGUCUGAGAGGAUGAUCAGUCACACUGGAACUGAGACACGGUCCAGACUCCUACGGGAGGCAGCAGUGGGGAAUAUUGGACAAUGGGCGAAAGCCUGAUCCAGCCAUGCCGCGUGUGUGAAGAAGGUCUUCGGAUUGUAAAGCACUUUAAGUUGGGAGGAAGGGCAGUUGCCUAAUACGUAACUGUUUUGACGUUACCGACAGAAUAAGCACCGGCUAACUCUGUGCCAGCAGCCGCGGUAAUACAGAGGGUGCAAGCGUUAAUCGGAAUUACUGGGCGUAAAGCGCGCGUAGGUGGUUUGUUAAGUUGGAUGUGAAAUCCCCGGGCUCAACCUGGGAACUGCAUUCAAAACUGACUGACUAGAGUAUGGUAGAGGGUGGUGGAAUUUCCUGUGUAGCGGUGAAAUGCGUAGAUAUAGGAAGGAACACCAGUGGCGAAGGCGACCACCUGGACUGAUACUGACACUGACGUGCGAAAGCGUGGGGAGCAAACAGGAUUAGAUACCCUGCUAGUCCACGCCGUAUACGAUGUCAACUAGCCGUUGGGAGCCGUUGAGCUCUUAGUGGCGCACCUAACGCAUUAAGUUGACCGCCUGGGGAGUACGGCCGCAAGGUUAAAACUCAAAUGAAUUGACGGGGGGCCCGCACAAACGGUGGAGCAUGUGGUUUAAUUUCCACAACCAACGGCAA
rnacentral:rRNA from 1 species